AGCGAACGUUUGCGGCGGGCCUAACACAUGCAAGUCGAACGCACUAGCAAUAGUGAGUGGCGCACGGGUGCGUAACACGUGGGUAAUCAACCCUUCAGCUUGGGAUAACGACUUGAAAGGGUCGCUAAUACCGGAUACGGCGCGGGAGGCUUCGGCUUCUCACGAGAAAGCCUCGCAAGGGGCACUGAAGGACGAGCCUGCGGCCCAUCAGCUAGUUGGUGAGGUAAGAGCUCACCAAGGCGAAGACGGGUAGCUGGUCUGAGAGGAUGAUCAGCCACACUGGAACUGAGACACGGUCCAGACUCCUACGGGAGGCAGCAGUGGGGAAUAUUGCGCAAUGGGCGAAAGCCUGACGCAGCCACGCCGCGUGAGCGAUGAAGGCCUCGGUCGUAAGACUCUGUGGGGAGGAGAC
rnacentral:rRNA from 1 species